UCCAGACUCCUACGGGAGGCAGCAGUGGGGGAUAUUGCACAAUGGGGGAAACCCUGAUGCAGCGACGCCGCGUGAGUGAAGAAGUAUUUCGGUAUGUAAAGCUCUAUCAGCAGGGAAGAAAAAAGACGGUACCUGACUAAGAAGCCCCGGCUAACUACGUGCCAGCAGCCGCGGUAAUACGUAGGGGGCAAGCGUUAUCCGGAUUUACUGGGUGUAAAGGGAGCGUAGACGGCAAUACAAGUCGGAAGUGAAAUACCCGGGCUCAACCUGGGAACUGCUUUGGAAACUGUAUGGCUGGAGUGCUGGAGAGGUAAGCGGAAUUCCUAGUGUAGCGGUGAAAUGCGUAGAUAUUAGGAGGAACACCAGUGGCGAAGGCGGCUUACUGGACAGUAACUGACGUUGAGGCUCGAAAGCGUGGGGAGCAAACAGGAUUAGAUACCCCGGUAUAA
rnacentral:rRNA from 1 species